rnacentral:rRNA from 1 species
UACGGAGGGAGCUAGCGUUGUUCGGAAUUACUGGGCGUAAAGCGCACGUAGGCGGCUUUGUAAGUUAGAGGUGAAAGCCCGGGGCUCAACUCCGGAACUGCCUUUAAGACUGCAUCGCUUGAAUCCAGGAGAGGUGAGUGGAAUUCCGAGUGUAGAGGUGAAAUUCGUAGAUAUUAGGAAGAACACCAGUGGCGAAGGCGGCUCACUGGUCCGGUACUGACGCUGAGGCGCGAAAGCGUGGGGAGCAAACAGG